AGGAUCAUUAUCAUAUGAUGAAGGUGCAAGGGCUGUCGCUGACCUUUAAAAGGUUGUGCACGCCUGAGUGCUCUCACACACAUCCAUUCCACCCCUUUGUGCAUCACCGCGUGGGGGUCCCCUGAAAAGGGGAGGCCCACGUUUUUUUCUUUUUCACACAAACCUCAAAGUGGUUUAGAAUGUACUUUUCUUUUUUUGCGGUGAUACGCAAUCAAUACAACUUUCAACAACGGAUCUCUUGGCUCUCGCAUCGAUGAAGAACGCAGCGAAAUGCGAUACGUAAUGUGAAUUGCAGAAUUCAGUGAAUCAUCGAAUCUUUGAACGCACCUUGCGCCCCUUGGCAUUCCGAGGGGCACACCCGUUUGAGUGUCGUGAAAUUCUCAAAAUCCCUUUCUUUGAUCAUUUCGAUCAAGAAAAGGAUUUUGGACUUGGAGGAUCAAUGCUCACUCUCACUUUCUUUUUGAAAGUGAGCUCCUCUUAAAUGAAUUAGUGGGGGUUUGCUUUGCUGAUCCUUGACGUGAUAAGGUGAUUCUACGUUUUGGAUUUAGCACUGUCCCUUUAGAACACCCGCUUCUAAUCGUCUUAUGGACAACGAUGGUGUUCCGGUCACCGGCUGGACCCACACAAGAAAAACCUUGACCUCAAAUCGGGUGAGACUACCCGCUGAACUUAAGCAUAUCAAUAAGCGGAGGAAAAGAAACUAACAAGGAUUCCCCUAGUAACUGCGAGUGAAGCGGGAAAAGCUCAAAUUUAAAAUCUGGUGGU
rnacentral:rRNA from 1 species